AUACGAAGGGUGCGAGCGUUAAUCGGAAUUACUGGGCGUAAAGCGCGCGUAGGCGGUUGGAUAAGUCGGAUGUGAAAGCCCCGGGCUCAACCUGGGAAUUGCAUUCGAAACUGUCCGGCUAGAGUAUGCUAGAGGGAAGCGGAAUUCCACAUGUAGCGGUGAAAUGCGUAGAUAUGUGGAGGAACACCAGUGGCGAAGGCGGCUUCCUGGACCAAUACUGACGCUGAGGUGCGAAAGCGUGGGGAGCAAACAGAAUUAGAAACCCGAGUAGUCC
rnacentral:rRNA from 1 species